CACCAGACUCCUACGGGAGGCAGCAGUGGGGAAUAUUGCAAAAUGGGGGGAACCCUGAUGCAGCGACGCCGCGUGGGUGAAGGAGCACCUCGGCGCGUAAAGCCCUAUCGGCAGGGAAGAAGGAGGACGGUACCUGACUAAGAAGCCCCGGCUAACUACGUGCCAGCAGCCGCGGGAAUACGUAGGGGGCAAGCGUUAUCCGGAUUUACUGGGUGUAAAGGGGGCGCAGACGGCAGCGCAAGCCAGGAGUGAAAGCCCGGGGCCCAACCCCGGGACUGCUCUUGGAACUGCGCGGCUGGAGUGCAGGAGGGGCAGGCGGAAUUCCUGGUGUAGCGGUGAAAUGCUUAGAUAUCACGAAGAACUCCGAUUGCGAAGGCAGCUCACUGGACUGCAACUGACACUGAGGCUCGAAAGUGUGGGUAUCAAACAGGAUUAGAUACCCCUGUACUA
rnacentral:rRNA from 1 species